UACGAAGGGUGCAAACGUUGCUCGGAAUUAUUGGGCGUAAAGCGCACGUAGGCGGCAUUGCAAGUCGGAUGUGAAAUCCCUCGGCUUAACCAAGGAAGUGCAUCCGAAACUGCAGUGCUUGAGUACUUAAGAGGAUCGCGGAAUUCCCGGUGUAGAGGUGAAAUUCGUAGAUAUCGGGAGGAACACCAGUGGCGAAGGCGGCGAUCUGGGAAGAUACUGACGCUGAGGUGCGAAAAGCGUGGGGAGCAAACAGGG
rnacentral:rRNA from 1 species